AACGAACGCUGGCGGCAGGCUUAACACAUGCAAGUCGAACGAGAUCUUCGGAUCUAGUGGCAGACGGGUGAGGAACACGUGGGAACAUCCCUUUCAGUUCGGAAUAACGUUGGGAAACUAACGCUAAUACCGGAUACGUCCUUCGGGAGAAAGAUUUAUCGCUGAAAGAUUGGCCCGCGUCUGAUUAGCUAGUUGGUGAGGUAAUGGCUCACCAAGGCUACGAUCAGUAGCUGAUCUGAGAGGAUGAUCAGCCACAUUGGGGCUGAGACACGGCCCAAACUCCGACGGGAGGCAGCAGUGGGGAAUAUUGGACAAUGGGCGCAAGCCUGAUCCAGCCAUGCCGCGUGAGUGAUGACGGCCUUCGGGUUGUAAAGCUCUUUUGUCCGGGAAGAUAAUGACUGUACCGGAAGAAUAAGCCCCGGCAAACUGCGUGCCAGCCGCCGCCGUAA
rnacentral:rRNA from 1 species